AUGACACGAGUUAGCUUGCUGUGGGCAGUCGUGGUCUCCACCUGUCUUGAAUCCGGCAUGGCCCAGACAGUCACUCAGUCUCAACCAGAGAUGUCUGUGCAGGAGGCAGAGACUGUGACCCUGAGUUGCACAUAUGACACCAGUGAGAAUAAUUAUUAUUUGUUCUGGUACAAGCAGCCUCCCAGCAGGCAGAUGAUUCUCGUUAUUCGCCAAGAAGCUUAUAAGCAACAGAAUGCAACGGAGAAUCGUUUCUCUGUGAACUUCCAGAAAGCAGCCAAAUCCUUCAGUCUCAAGAUCUCAGACUCACAGCUGGGGGACACUGCGAUGUAUUUCUGUGCUUUCAUGAAGCA